rnacentral:lncRNA from 1 species
CUCUGAGAUUCUCUUUUAUCAUGAAGAUGAAGUGGAGGCAGCAUUAUCUGCCAUUCCUGGUAUUUAAGAUUGUUAUAAUGAUGCAAUGAAAAAAAGUUUGCGAAGACACUUUAAAAACUCUAAAGCACCAAAAUAACAUCUGUUUGGGUUGUUGUUGUUGUCGGUUUGUCUUCCAGAUAGAAAUCUCUGCCCAUAAAAAUCUUCCACAGUAAAGGGGCACUGAUACAAACACAUGGCUGCUCUCCAUUGCCUCAUCACCUGCGUGCCCCUUAGGACAGCUCACCAGUGAAUUCCUUUUCUCUCCUUUCCCUCUACCUACUUGAGUCCUUUCCCUGAUGACUUGUCUUCGUACCAAGUUUUAGUCGUCCUUCCCAAGUCAUCUGAAGAGAGCUUGAGAAAGACCCAUUUAAUGGAUGGGGAAACAACUACAGGGUGAAAAAGAGAUUUCCCUUCUCUUCCUGCUAAUUUUAGCAACGCUGCUCAGACUGCUACUCUGAGUUACUAAAGUUGGAGUUUUAUGUCAGGGACUGGAUUUUAUCUCCCAAUAUGUAUUUUCUCUUCUUCUCUAAUUACAGAACCUUUAGCUGGGCACACGGCUGCUGAAUUAAAGACCACAUUUCCCAGCAUCCUUUGAGUGUGGCCAUGUAACUUGAAUUCUGGCCAACGGGAGAAAGAUGCCCAUUGGUGUAGGAGUCUGCCUGAAACAAGACGCUAAGCUGCCUGAGCAGCUAGGCCGCUAAUGAAUGCCUCUCCUCCCCAAGAAGCAAACGCUCCUGCUGCUCCCAGCUGUUUGGUAGGCUCCGACCUGCUACUGUCAGGUAGCAUUGGUCGUACAGGUAACAAGAAGCCACAUCCUGAUUCGCAUCCUCCUCCCAAAACCCUGCAACUUCCUGAAUUCCCGUGCUCCUCAGGCGGGACUUCCUGUUGGAGAUGGAGCUAAAGAAGCUGAAAAACUCCUCCAUCCUUCCUAAGAUAGAUCUCAUUUAUGCAUGAGGUCAGACAAAUUUCCCUAAUGCUGCCCUUGAGGGGAUAUCCAGGGAUAACAAAGGCUGUCUUCCAUGCCUCUCCCCGAAUCCAGAUGUAAACCAGAAAACAUAAAAUAAAAAGCCAAAAAUCAUUCCAAAAAGUCGACAUUAAAUUGACAAAAAGACCACGUGUGUUCUACUUGGCCUGUUUUACAUGGUUUGUCUGAAUUCUCUCCCACCUCCCCAUCCUGCCAAGACAUCAGGGACGUAUUGACUUUCAUUUCCUUGAAAUAGUUAAUUUUUGCAACCAAGGUUCCAAACAGGAGGUUUAAACUGGGGAUCCACUCACUCUGUGUGUAGGUCAUUUAAGAGCUCAAUCUCAUCUUUGAAAUAUAGAUUAGCCAGGAGAGUAUGAGUUCAGCAUUUCUAUGUAAUGUUGUUUCAUUGAUCCUGCAGGCCAACUGGACAUGGCUUCAGACGGAUACCUAAAAAUUAGUUUUAAAACUUUCCC